UAGCGGUGUUGGUCUUUGGAAGCAAUCUUGAACCAAUUUUAAUCAAUGGGUUUUGAAUCUUAAGAACAUCCGUGCACACAGAAGACAGCAAUUGAGCCAUUUUUAAUUUAAUUUAAUUUUAAUUAUUCCUGCCGCUAAAUCGAUGCAUGCAAUUCCUCCUUUUUCGGAUAGCUAGAGACUGGAGAGCGGAGAGCUUGGAUUUUUAUUUUUUAAUUUU
rnacentral:misc_RNA from 1 species